UCACCAUUGACUGGGCUUCAAGCAAGAGAUAACUAUGGAUGAGGCUUCAUCCUGGAGGAUAUGUAUCUAAGAAAUACAUCAAGAAGAAGACAAUGAUGCAGAAACAAAGAUCACCUCUUAUGAAGAUAGUGUUGUACUUUUCAAUUUAAGUUUGUAUAUUAUUUAAUUGAAUGUUUUUAGCUAGGUUUUAUUUGUAUAUAGAAAAUAGAGAGUAACUUGAAAAACAUUUAUGGAAUUGUGUUCUU